GAUGAACGCUGGCGGCGUGCCUAAUACAUGCAAGUCGAGCGAACGGACGAGAAGCUUGCUUCUCUGAUGUUAGCGGCGGACGGGUGAGUAACACGUGGAUAACCUACCUAUAAGACUGAGAUAACUUCGGGAAACCGUAGCUAAUACCGGUUAAUAUUUUGAACCGCAUGGUUCAAAAGUGAAAGACGGUCUUGCUGUCACUUAUAGAUGGAUCCGCGCUGCAUUAGCAAGUUGGUAAGGUAACGGCUUACCAAGGCAACGAUGCAUAGCCGACCUGAGAGGGUGAUCGGCCACACUGGAACUGAGACACGGUACAGACUCCUACGGGAGGCAGCAGUAGGGAAUCUUCCGCAAUGGGCGAAAGCCUGACGGAGCAACGCCGCGUGAGUGAUGAAGGUCUUCGGAUCGUAAAACUCUGUUAUUAGGGAAGAACAGAUGUGUAAGUAACUGUGCACAUCUUGACGGUACCUAAUCAGAAAGCCACGGCUAACUACGUG
rnacentral:rRNA from 1 species